rnacentral:rRNA from 1 species
GAGGCAAUGGCUCNCCAGGCCUAUAACCGGUACGNNCCGUGGAGCGGAAGCCNGGAGAUGGGCACUGAGNCAGGGCCCAGGCCCUACGGGGCGCAGCAGUCGCGCAAACUCUGCAAUGCACGAAAGUGUGACAGGGCUACCCCGAGUGCCGUCCGCUGAGGAUGGCUUUUCUCCACUGUAAGGAGGCGGAGGAAUAAGGAGAGGGCAAGUCUGGUGUCAGCCGCCGCGGUAAUACCAGCUCUCCGAGUGGUAGGGACGAUUAUUGGGCUUAAAGCGUCCGUAGCCGGCCUCUCAAGUCUUUCGUUAAAUCCAGCGAUUCAAUCGUUGGACUGCGGGAGAUACUGUUAGGCUAGGGGGCGGGAGAAGCCGACGGUAUUUUCGGGGUAGGGGUAAAAUCCUAUAAUCCCGGGAAGACCACCAGUGGCGUAGGCGGUCGGCUAGCACGCGCUCGACGGUGAGGGACGAAAGCUGGGGGAGCGAACCGGAUUAGAUACCCGGGUAGUCCCAGCUGUAAACGAUGCGGGCUAGGUGUUGGGUCGGCCACGAGCUGUCCCAGUGCCGCAGGGAAGCCAUUAAGCCUGCCACCUGGGAAGUACGGCCGCAAGGCUGAAUUUCUAUCGAGGCUCAGAAAAUUCAUUGAGCCUCAUGGAACAGUUUACUUAAAGGAAUUGGCGGGGGAGCAC